rnacentral:rRNA from 1 species
UACGACUACAUAUCAGGCAUAUCAAUAAGCGGAGGAAAAGAAACUAACAAGGAUUCCCUUAGUAACGGCGAGUGAAGCGGGAAGAGCUCAAAUUUGAAAUCUUCAAGGUUCUACCUUGACGAAUUGUAGUUUAAAGAAGUGUUUUCUGUUAGAGGAGUAGCAAAAGUUCCUUGGAAUGGGACAUCAUAGAGGGUGAGAAUCCCGUAUUUGGUUAUUCUUUCUAGCUUUGUGAUACACUUUCAAAGAGUCGGAUUGUUUGGGAAUGCAGGUCCAAAAUGGGUGGUAAAUUUCAUCUAAAGCUAAAUAUUGGCGAGAGACCGAUAGCGAACAAGUACCGUGAGGGAAAGAUGAAAAGAACUUUGAAAAGAGAGUUAAACAGUACGUGAAAUUGUCAAAAGGGAAGCGUUUGACACCAGUGUUGUUUUUCCGAAAAUCAAUUAAGAAGGGCUUGAUUUUGUGUUGUAUUGACCUUAUCAGCUUUCUUCACUCUUUUUCGAGUCUUUCUUAAUGCACUUUUCGGUUAACAAGUCAACAUCAAUUUCUUUUGUUGUAAAAGGGUAUUUGGAAGGUGGCUUUCUUUUCGGAGAAAGUGUUUAUAGCCUUAUACCUCUACAAUCGGAGAGAUUGAGGUCUGCAGCGUAGAUCCUUCGGGGCUAGAUACACUUGUGCUAAGUUAUAGCUUUUCAUAGACAACUUGUUGACUAUGUUUAGUCAUGUAGCUUACCCGCUUGUGCUAUUUUACCUACGCUUAGGAUGUUGAUCUACAGAGCGAGAGU